rnacentral:rRNA from 1 species
AUUGAACGCUGACGGCAUGCCUUACACAUGCAAGUCGAACGGAUUCAAGGGGCUUGCUCCUUGAGUUAGUGGCGAACGGGUGAGUAAUGCAUCGGAACGUGCCCAGUUGUGGGGGAUAACGUAGCGAAAGUUACGCUAAUACCGCAUCCGACCUGAGGGUGAAAGCGGGGGAUCGCAAGACCUCGCGCAAUUGGAGCGGCCGAUGUCAGAUUAGCUAGUUGGUAGGGUAAAAGCCUACCAAGGCGACGAUCUGUAGCUGGUCUGAGAGGACGACCAGCCACACUGGGACUGAGACACGGCCCAGACUCCUACGGGAGGCAGCAGUGGGGAAUUUUGGACAAUGGGGGAAACCCUGAUCCAGCCAUGCCGCGUGAGUGAAGAAGGCCUUCGGGUUGUAAAGCUCUUUCGGACAGAAAGAAAUCUUUUGGGCUAAUACCCUGAGAGGAUGACGGUACUGUAAGAAGAAGCACCGGCUAACUACGUGCCAGCCGCCGCAGUAA